CGGACAACGCUGGCGGCGUUGCUUAAAACAUGCAAGUCGAACGGACUUCUCAUGAAGCUUGCGAUUGAGAAGUUAGUGGCGGACGGGUGAGUAACGCGUGGGCAACCUGCCCCUGAGCCCGGGAUAACAGUUCGAAAGGACUGCUAAGACCGGAUAUACUUGCGGGGAAGCAUUUCACUGCAAGGAAAGGGAACGCUCAGGGAUGGGCCCGCGUCCCAUUAGCUAGUUGGUGAGGUAACGGCCCACCAAGGCGACGAUGGGUAGCCGGCCUGAGAGGGUGAACGGCCACACUGGGACUGAGACACGGCCCAGACUCCUACGGGAGGCAGCAGUUGGGAAUCUUCGGCAAUGGGCGCAAGCCUGACCGAGCAACGCCGCGUGAGUGAUGAAGGUUUUCGGAUUGUAAAGCUCUGUCUUCCGGGACGAUAAUGACGGUACCGGAGGAGGAAGCCACGGCUAACUACGUG
rnacentral:rRNA from 1 species